rfam:Fukomys damarensis contig115513, whole genome shotgun sequence.
GGAUGUGAGGGCGAUCUGCUGCGGCAUCUGUCACUUCACUGAUCUGGCCGGGCAGGUGUCCCAUUCCUCCCUCACCACCCCAUGUGCGUCCCUCCCAAAGCUGCACGCUUGGUCAAGGAGAACUACCGCCCCCCCAUGGAGGAGGACCGCUUUCUCGGUCAAGGGUAUAGGAGUAGCUGCUCUCCCUUCUAGAACCUCCAAACGAGAGAGAAAAGAGGUUUUUCGGGAGGAUUUUAAGAAAGUUUAUCAUGGAGCUUUUGAUAUUAAACCUUCUCCUCAAU